rnacentral:rRNA from 1 species
CCCUUAGAUGUCCGGGGCCGCACGCGCGCUACACUGAAGGAAUCAGCGUGGCUUUCUCCCUGACCCGAAAGGGUUGGGAAACCCGUUGAAUAUCCUUCGUGAUAGGGAUUGGGGCUUGAAAUUGUUCCCCAUGAACGAGGAAUUCCCAGUAAGCGCGAGUCAUAAGCUCGCGUUGAUUACGUCCCUGCCCUUUGUACACACCGCCCGUCGCUCCUACCGAUGAGCGUUUUGGCGAAGACGGUUUGAGUAGCUGCGUAAUUUCGUGUUGUUGACUCCGGCAGUUUGAGCCUUCACGUUUAGAGGAAGGAGAAGUCGUAACA